GACGAACGCUGGCGGCGUGCUUAACACAUGCAAGUCGAACGGAAAGGCCCUGCGUUUGUGGGGUGCUCGAGUGGCGAACGGGUGAGUAACACGUGAGUAACCUGCCCUUGACUUUGGGAUAACUUCAGGAAACUGGGGCUAAUACCGGAUAGGAGCUCCUGCUGCAUGGUGGGGGUUGGAAAGUUUCGGCGGUUGGGGAUGGACUCGCGGCUUAUCAGCUUGUUGGUGGGGUAGUUGCUUACCAAGGCUUUGACGGGUAGCCGGCCUGAGAGGGUGACCGGCCACAUUGGGACUGAGAUACGGCCCAGAAUCCUACGGGAGGCAGCAGUGGGGAAUCUUGCACAAUGGGCGGAAGCCUGAUGCAGCAACGCCGCGUGCGGGAUGACGGCCUUCGGGUUGUAAACCGCUUUCGCCUGUGACGAAGCGUGAGUGACGGUAAUGGGUAAAGAAGCACCGGCUAACUACGUG
rnacentral:rRNA from 1 species